UGGGGGAUAUUGCACAAUGGGCGAAAGCCUGAUGCAGCGACGCCGCGUGGGGGAUGAAGGCCUUCGGGUUGUAAACUUCUUUUGCUCUGAACAAAGCAUGCCUUUGGGGUGUGUUGAGUGUAGGGGUUGAUUAGCGCCGGCUAACUACGUGCCAGCAGCCGCGGUAAUACGUAGGGCGCGAGCGUUGUCCGGAAUUAUUGGGCGUAAAGGGCUUGUAGGUGGCUGGUUGCGUCUGUCGUGAAAGCUCAUGGCUUAACUGUGGGUUUGCGGUGGGUACGGGCUGGCUUGAGUGCAGUAGGGGAGGCUGGAAUUCCUGGUGUAGCGGUGGAAUGCGCAGAUAUCAGGAGGAAUACCGGUGGCGAAGGCGGGUCUCUGGGCUGUUACUGACGCUGAGGAGCGAAAGCGUGGGGAGCGAACAGG
rnacentral:rRNA from 1 species